rnacentral:lncRNA from 1 species
AAUCUGGAGGAAUUCCCUGGGGAAAUGUGGAGUGGGGAAAAAAAAUGCUCAUUUCACCCACUGUUUCACUUUGUCCCCAACAGUGGGAACAAAGUGACUUUAUUUUUCAGAAAUGCCUUGGACCAGCUGUGACUGAACAGCACACAGGCUGUUGCUUGUUCCUGAUGUUCAGGGCACUUUCCAGCUGGAAGAAAGUUACAGCUAAAGAGACACAGAAGAGAGAGGGAAGAGAUUUGAGGCAGCAGGUAUUUAGUGGCUGACCCACAACUCAAGCACCGUGGGGCCAAGCUUCCCAAGACCAUCUUCUUCGCAGCCGCUCUGUGUGGUGACAUCUUGGCAUCGUACAUGGAGAAGCGGUUUACAAGAGCCCCUAGGACUGACCAGAGAUCUCCACCAUGCCCCAGUCAUCCUCCUGUCACACUGCUGAUUCAACCAAUGCCCUCCCAAUCCUGCCCAUAGAGCAACUACAGGGGACAUGUGAUGCCACGGCAAGUACCCAGCCAGCAGCAGCGUGAACCGAUGCGCUCGCUAUUUAAUAUGCAGAGGAAAUGAGUCGCAACUAAGUUCAUUGCACACAUCCAUUACGUGAGAGAAGCAUCAAUAUUUCUGUAAAUCCACCAGGGAAUUUAUUCAUCUCAGCCUCCAGCAAUGGUGGAUUCCCCUGGUGACUAGUGCAAUUCGGAAGCGCGUACAGCCAUAAUGAGAAAGUACCGUGGUUUCCCUUAAAGUAAUAUAGUGGUUAUUGCUGAUAGUUACUGCCUUUGUGAAGUAUUAAUGCGUGGUUAUAGUGCAGUCAUGUAGCAAAAUUAUAGGGGCCUGUGGAAUGUUACUUAGCAACACUUGCUAAUGUUGAGGUGGUAAUGAAGAAAUGGAGUAAAAGAAAUACAGAGUAUAUUGGAGUCAUAAAAUAAACCAUGGUGUGGCUUCA